CCAGGUUUUAAUUUGAAUGUGUGAGAGGCGUAGAGUGUACGAUUUCUCCAGUUUGGUUGACCACGGAAUCCCUCUUUCUCCCCUGCUUUUAAAAAAAUGUGGCAUGUUUUAUUAUCUCUUUCUUUUCAACACAUUAUUUAGGAAACCCUGGACUAUGGAAUCAGCUGAAAUGAGAGCCAUGAGCUUUAUAUAACACUGAAAGCACCAUGGUUCUCUUUCUGUCAUUCAGAGCCAAACUUGCAGACUCCCAGAUUAAUAUGGUGGCUCAUAGCAGGUGCCUGAUUGCCUGAUUCAUCCGCUCCCAUCCUCCCAUUAAAACCCCAUUGAAGGCACAUGCAAAAUUGCAAAAUUGCAACUGCACCAGAAGCUAAGAAUACCAAUUAAUGCUUGGCCACAGUCUAGGAAGGAUUUCUGCCAAUAGCAGUGCAGAUGAGGACAGAUUGAGAAACUCUCAUUAGCUGAUGCACAAUGCGGCUUUGAGGCAGAGCACCGAGGUCAGAAAAGACGGAGCCAAGCCCAUCGCAGAGGCACCUCACAAGUGCCCAGGAGAAGCUGAGUACCAAACUCCAAGCAAGAUAGAGUUGCAUCCCUAGGCAAAGAGGGCCACUUCUUUAACCCCAACCACAACAGUCCUGCUAAUCUGUAUUUCUUAAAGAGUGCACCCCCCAAGCGAAGCAACCAGAGGUCCUUGGUCAUUAAAAUACUUUUCUUUUCCAGGCAGAAGGGGCAAGAGGAGACUCCACACUGAUAAACACCAGAAAUGUGGCUAAUGGUCCUCUCUCCUGCUAAAGAUCUGAGAAUUCUGUCAGCAACAGAGUGAACACUGAGGGGAUCGUGGGGCAUGUGCUAGACAUUUCUAUAGCCCAGCUCAAAAGUGUUAGGUGACUACAGAGUGAUUCUAAAUGCGGUCUAGGGAUAUCAUUUUAGCAGAUAUGAAGCCAGUCAAGAGAUGUCAGGUUUUGGACAGAUGGUGAAGAAUCUUAUAACUUACAGAUAAUAUUAGUACAAUUAAAAAUAGAAUAUAUAUCUUCCAAAUUGUAGAAAGAAAGUAAAAUGUAGUCUAUAGAGCAAAAGACAGAAAAUAACAGAAAAAUCAAACAUCCAUUAAAAAGAUACAGAGCAGAAAAAUAAGAUGGCAAAAGUAACAGCAAACAUAUUUU
rnacentral:lncRNA from 1 species